AAUAAUAAUCAUCAUGAGAUCAAACUUUUCAAUGUACAUUGUUUAUUUCCUUAAUAUCUUCAUUCGAAUCAUAUUUUCAAUCCGAUUCGGACAAUGCCAAUGCUUUAGACAUG